rnacentral:rRNA from 1 species
GAAUAAAGAAUGAAGACUCAACGGAAUAGGAAUAAAAUUUAAAAGAAUAGUUACUGGCGGUCCUCAACCCUUCUAGAGGUACAUGUGAAGUGGAAUGAAUCUACACAAAAACCUCUUUACUUUUUCGAAUAGAGCAUUUUGCACACCACUGUCUGAAAAAAGAAGGAAUCUCUUUUUAAUCUAAAAGUAUUAGAGUAAGGCAAGCAAACGUGCAGACUAUAAAAGUAAACUCAUGUGUUCCAAUUUGAAUGAUGGUUUAAUAACUUAAAAGGGGAAAUAAAUAAGAGAAUUUAGGAGUAAAAAAAGUUUAUAAAACUUUUUUGAAUACAGGCGCUAGAGGACGU